ACUCCUACGGGAGGCAGCAGUGGGGAAUAUUGGACAAUGGGCGCAAGCCUGAUCCAGCCAUGCCGCGUGAGUGAUGAAGGCCCUAGGGUUGUAAAGCUCUUUUGUGCGGGAAGAUAAUGACGGUACCGCAAGAAUAAGCCCCGGCUAACUUCGUGCCAGCAGCCGCGGUAAUA
rnacentral:rRNA from 1 species